GAGGGGGGCAAGCGUUGUUCGGAAUUAUUGGGCGUAAAGGGUGCGUAGGCGGUUUUGUAAGUCUUGUGUGAAAUCUUCAGGCUCAACUUGAAGACUGCACGAGAAACUGCAGGGCUUGAGUGUGGGAGAGGUGAGUGGAAUUCCUGGUGUAGCGGUGAAAUGCGUAGAUGUCAGGAGGAACACCUGUGGCGAAAGCGGCUCACUGGACCACAACUGACGCUGAUGCACGAAAGCUAGGGGAGCAAACAGGAUUAGAUACCCUGGUAGUCCUAGCCCUAAACGAUGACUGCUUGGUGUGACGGGUACCCAAUCCCGCCGUGCCGUAGCUAACGCGUUAAGCAGUCCGCCUGGGGAGUACGGUCGCAAGGCUG
rnacentral:rRNA from 1 species